rnacentral:rRNA from 1 species
AUUGAACGCUGGCGGCAGGCCUAACACAUGCAAGUCGAGCGGAGCGGCGGACGGGUGAGUAAUACCUAGGAAUCUGCCUGGGAGUGGGGGAUAACGUCCGGAAACGGGCGCUAAUACCGCAUAAUAUCAGGUGAGCCUGGGUCGGAUUCGCUAGGUGGUGGGGUAAAGGCCUACCAAGGCGACGAUCCGUAACUGGUCUGAGAGGAUGAUCAGUCACACUGGAACUGAGACACGGUCAAGACGCCGACGGGAGGCAGCAGUGGGGAAUAUUGGACAAUGGGCGAAAUCCCGAUACAGCCAUGCCGCGUGUGUGAAGAAGGUCUUCGGAUUGUAAAGCACUUUAAGUUGGGAGGCGUUACCAACAGAAUAAGCACCGGCUAACUUCGUGCCAGCAGCCGCGGUAAUUC